rnacentral:rRNA from 1 species
UACCAGACUCCUACGGGAGGCAGCAGUGGGGAAUAUUGCACAAUGGGGGAAACCCUGAUGCAGCGACGCCGCGUGAGUGAAGAAGUAUUUCGGUAUGUAAAGCUCUAUCAGCAGGGAAGAAAAUGACGGUACCUGACUAAGAAGCCCCGGCUAACUACGUGCCAGCAGCCGCGGUAAUACGUAGGGGGCAAGCGUUAUCCGGAUUUACUGGGUGUAAAGGGAGCGUAGGCGGGAAGCCAAGUCAGCUGUGAAAACUACGGGCUUAACCUGUAGACUGCAGUUGAAACUGGCUUUCUUGAGUGAAGUAGAGGUUGGCGGAAUUCCGAGUGUAGCGGUGAAAUGCGUAGAUAUUCGGAGGAACACCGGUGGCGAAGGCGGCCAACUGGGCUUUAACUGACGCUGAGGCUCGAAAGUGUGGGGAGCAAACAGGAUUAGAUACCCCAGUAAA